UCCGUAGGUGAACCUGCGGAGGGAUCAUUACCGAGUUUACAACUCCCAAACCCCUGUGAACAUACCUUAUGUUGCCUCGGCGGAUCAGCCCGCGCCCCGUAAAAAGGGACGGCCCGCCGCAGGAACCCUAAACUCUGUUUUUAGUGGAACUUCUGAGUAUAAAAAACAAAUAAAUCAAAACUUUCAACAACGGAUCUCUUGGUUCUGGCAUCGAUGAAGAACGCAGCAAAAUGCGAUAAGUAAUGUGAAUUGCAGAAUUCAGUGAAUCAUCGAAUCUUUGAACGCACAUUGCGCCCGCCAGUAUUCUGGCGGGCAUGCCUGUUCGAGCGUCAUUUCAACCCUCAAGCCCAGCUUGGUGUUGGGAGCUGCAGUCCUGCUGCACUCCCCAAAUACAUUGGCGGUCACGUCGAGCUUCCAUAGCGUAGUAAUUUACACAUCGUUACUGGUAAUCGUCGCGGCCACGCCGUUAAACCCCAACUUCUGAAUGUUGACCUCGGAUCAGGUAGGAAUACCCGCUGAACUUAAGCAUAUCAAUAAGCGGAGGAA
rnacentral:rRNA from 1 species